UUCUGAAUAUAUACUCAAAAUAUUAGGUUGGUGCAAACCUAAUUGCAAUUUUUGCAAUUUUUUUAAGUAAUUGCAAAAACUGUAAUUACUUUUGCACCAACCGAAUACAAC
ensembl:miRNA